UGCGUUAGGUGGUUAGGUAAGACCUGUGGGAAACGGACCUGGGCUUAACCCAGGAAGGUCGCAGGUGACUGCCUGGCUAGAGGGCGGGAGAGGAGCGCGGAAUUCCCGGUGUAGCGGUGAAAUGCGUAGAGAUCGGGAGGAAGGCCGGUGGCGAAGGCGGCGCUCUGGAACGUUCCUGACACUGAGGCACGAAAGCGUGGGGAGCAAACAGGAUUAGAUACCCUGGUAGUCCACGCCCUAAACGAUGGGUACUAAGUGUCGGCGGGUUACCGCCGGUGCCGCACCUAACGGAGUAAGUACCCCGCCUGGGGAGUACGGCCGCAAGGUUGAA
rnacentral:rRNA from 1 species